rnacentral:ncRNA from 1 species
UCCAUUGUGAAGUGAAAUUUGAAGGAAGUCGGACGCAAACACUCGAAUUGACGGACAGAAAUCUCAUAUAAGGCUGACUGGAGAAGGACGAGCUUUCUCAACAAAGUAAAGUCCAAUGCUGCACGAAUCUUCUACAAUAAAUGAGGCAGUGACAUGAGUGGAAGGUUAUCAUU